GUGCUCGCUUUGGCAGCACAUACACAAAAAUAUGAAUGCUACAGAGAAGAUUAGCAUGGCCCAUGCGUAAGGAUGAAAUGCGAAUUCGUGAAGCAUUUCAUAUUAAA